rnacentral:rRNA from 1 species
UACGGGGGGGCAAGCGUUGUUCGGAAUUACUGGGCGUAAAGGGCUCGUAGGCGGCCAACUAAGUCAGACGUGAAAUCCCUCGGCUUAACCGGGGAACUGCAUCUGAUACUGGAUGGCUUGAGAUUGGGAGAGGGAUGCGGAAUUCCAGGUGUAGCGGUGAAAUGCGUAGAUAUCUGGAGGAACACCGGUGGCGAAGGCGGCAUCCUGGACCAAUAUUGACGCUGAGGAGCGAAAGCCAGGGGAGCAAACGGG